AGUUAACGGCCAAACCACAACAUUUAUCUUCUCAAUCGUUACAAGUUUCCAUAUAACCCUAGUGCCUGACGUACGAGAUAAUUAUUCCCCAAAUAUUUUAAUUUCCGAUUUUCUUAAAUACGUAUAUAUAUUGCGAAAGCGAGGACAUUUCCGCAGUGUCAUCUGACUUUUGAAACAGAGGUGAGUUUCGCGGAAUCUCUGAGCCACUUGCCAAUCCGUGGUAUGUUCAUCUUUUUGGUUUUUUCACGUCAAGAUGUUGCCAUGUUUGUCUCUCUAGAGUUUUCGCUAUAGCUUUGUCUCUCUCUUUGUCACUGGCUCUCUGUGUUCCCUAGGGUUCCAUUAUCAAAUCCUUAAACUUUUUGCUCUUUUCCUUGUUACUUUUAUGUCAGCCACAUAACUUUAAUCGCAGGGAAUAAUUCUUUAAUUCAUCUUUUAGCUUUUGAAUCCUCCAUACUAUUUGUUCAUUUGGGCUGAAAAUCUUUGGUUUUCAGCCAAUUUAACUGAUGAUUAGACUUUGGGCAGAUGAAAUCUCAUCUGGGUCGUGAUUGAAUUGGGAGAUUAGUUUUGAACUACAAGUGUCCAUCUGGGUUUCUCUGGUUUCCGUCGAUAAGAGUAGAGGGCUCGAAACUUCAUCUGGGUGGAGGCCAAAAGUUUGAAAUUUUGCUACUGUUUCACUCAAUUGGAACUUUUUGCUCUUAGAUCUUCGUGUUCUUUGCCUAAAUGGAGGACGGAGAGCUCGAUUUUUCGAACCAAGAGAUGUUUUCGGGUCCAAACAUGGGGGGUGAACAUCCGAGUAGUUGCUCAAUGGACAGCUUCUUUGAUGACCUUCUUAAGGACACUCAUGCUUGCACUCACACCCACACUUGCAAUCCACCUGGCCCUGACUACUCUCAUACACACACUUGCUUUCAUGUACACACUAAAAUCGUGUCUUCAGCAACAGGAAGUGAAGACAAGGCUGGAACUGAUGACACUGCUGAAUCUGGGGAAAAGAAAUCGAAGAAACGUCCUUUAGGUAAUCGAGAAGCAGUUCGUAAGUACCGCGAGAAGAAGAAGGCACGGGCAGCGUCUUUGGAGGAUGAAGUUGUGAGAUUGAGAACUCUGAAUCAGCAGUUAUUGAAGAGGUUGCAAGGUCAGGCUGCAUUGGAGGCUGAGAUUGCGAGGCUCAAGUGUUUGCUUGUGGACAUUCGAGGAAGAAUUGAAGGAGAAAUUGGAUCUUUUCCAUAUCAGAAAUCAGUGAAUCCCAACCUGCCCAACCCAAACAUCCCCAGUGCGUAUGUGAUGAAUCCAUGUAAUCUACAGCGUGAUGAUCAGCUUUAUUGUCUUCAUCAAGGGGCUGAUGGAAAAUGUGGAGAUGGGGCGGUGAUGAAUGGGCAAGGAUUUAGCGGUUGUGAUUUUGAGAAUCUUCAGUGUUUGGUAAAUCAGGAUGGAGGAUACAAGGAGCUUUCUGGUUGUGGACUUGGAAAUGGGGUGUCAAAUGGUAAUUCUUCUGCCACAAAUAAGAGGAAGGGAGGGGCUCGAGCCGCAGCAGCAAACUGAAGGGCUGAGGAAGGAAGCAGUGUCAUUAUCCCCAAGAGUACAUAUAUUGCCCUGCAAUAAGUAGUUUUUCAAACUGCAGCAUCAGCUCUCCAUCAGACCGUAGAGAAGGUGGCAUGUGAUUUCUAUCAUGUUUCAGUACUAUGAGCUGUAAACAGGUGAGUCACAAUAAUCACUUUGUGAGAUCCAAAUUUGUGAUCUGUGUGGAAGCUUGCGUAGUUUCCGGCUUUUGUUGGUUUACUGUUUCUCUUCAUCAAAAUAACUUAAGAGCUUAGCAUUUUGGUGAAAAGGAAUAAAAAGAAUGCAUUUGUGGGUGACUGACUAGCGGAUAAAUUUCACAGUACAUUGUCCUUGGGUGAUGCAUCUGGCCAUUGUGCAUGUCAGUGGACACCCUAUUUCCACCAUUGACGAUGGCAAGGAGAAUCUCUGUAGGUUCCUUGCCUUUGGAUGGUCAGUAUGUGCUUCUGCUAACCAACUUAUUUUUAGUGACCUGGAUUCAUGUGUAGACAGUGGGCUUUUAAUCUUCGCUGGUGAAUUUAUUAUAGUUCAUUCUCAUCUAUAUGAUGGGUAAUAUCAUUAGAGAGAAAAGUGAAAAGAGUUGGUGUAUAUUGAUAUCCCCACUAACGGGAUUUUGAUCAUUGAGAAACGAAUAAAGUUUUUUCUUCUUCCUUUUUUGAA